UACAAAUUCACAAUUGACACGUGUUCAAUUGUGCUAUUCAUUUUUUGUAAAGCUGAAUUUUAUUGCGACAAAGGUUAAAUUUGUAUCUCAAUGUGUUUGUAUAAGUUAACAAUUGUAAACAUGUUUUUAAUUCCAAGUAAAAUUGUCGCGCUUAAUUGCAAGAAUACAGUAUUAAUGCUAUAAAACAAAAGGUAUCCCAUAAUUCCAAAAAGUCACGUUUUAUGAGCUAAAUAUAUAUAUAUAUAUGUAUGCGUAUGUAUAUAAGAACAAGUUAUAUAUAGAAUAUAUUCUAUAUGCUGUAUUUCAAGUAUUGUGUGAAUAGUAGUAAAAAGCAGAUUAACCUAAUAUAGUCUAUUAUUAUAUCAUUAUUAUAUAUCGAGAAUGACUUUUUAUAUUCAACAAUGGGUAGAGUAUAUUUGAUUAUGAGAUUUCGGUUAAGAACUUUCGAAUGCUUUUCACAUAUUCCUAUUACAUAUUCAUUGAAGCCGGUGUCAUGCGCUCAUCUUUAGCAUCUCUCUGAAACAGCUUAGUUAUUACGUCCUGUCACACAUCUGAAUGCAUACAUACAUAUAUGCACGUUAGCUAAAAAUUAUAACUUAAAUUCUCUGCUCUGCCGGCCAUUUGAGCUGGCUUCCAGUUGUGCCUAAUUCCAGGAUGGGUUUUUUCGCCCUGCAGAUUGUGGGCUGCCUAAUCUUUGGUGCUGGUAAAGCUUGGCGCUUUGCUUAUGUUUCAUUUGAAUCACAUGGCUUCUGGCUAGGCGGUUGGGUUGGUUGGGCAUGGCUCGGUGUCACUCGGUUGGGCUUAUCUUUUAUAGGGCCAAAUGUCUUUGUUGCUUUCAGUUGUUGGCCGCCAGCCUGAAAUUGGGUGCAAAAAACGUUUUAGACUUGCCCAAAACAAAACAGGAAAAAAUUGGAUAAACAUUAUUUGGCUCUGACUGAAUGAUACACUGCUCAAAAUUUACUUGAUAUAAGUGUGAAGCUCAUUACAUGAUAUAUAGUUAACUGAUUAGUUAUUAAAUCAGAAAUAAUUAUUGCUCGAUUAUAUGCAAGUCCGAA